UAUCAAGUAUAUGUAUACGCAUCGGUCAGUUAUCAAAAAUAUUUAACCGACUCUAAGCCUAGUCGCUAGUGACCUUGUCUACGAAGCUGGAGGUAACGGGUUCGAAUCCCGGUAUAUUGUUGUCGCGGCAUCACAGCUGGUGUUGCGUGAAAGGGCGUCUCCGCGCGGCCGCCACCCGGCGCCGGGCGAGGAAAUACUGUCAGUGUGGAAAAGGAGGCCGCCAAUUCAGGAGGCCGAGAUUUUUAAUGAUAAGAAGAAAAAGGCCUGUGUUUCAAGGGUGCACUUUCUGUUCCGGGUCAUACAACUGCUGCCACGAUACUUCACCAGGACUCAAACCAAAACUGCCAAACAAGUCCAUACUUCACACUUCGCAAAUUACAUCCAAAUCGAAUCUUACUGAAUGCGCAUGCACUAAAAACCAAAACUGCAAUGGCAAGUCGAUACACCAAGCCGGCAUACAGAACCUGUGUAGGUUUACUGUUGAUGCGUACUUUACUUGAAUAAAGUAAUACACAUAAUUAUGGUAACUG